CGAGUGGCGGACGGGUGAGGAAUACAUCGGAAUCUACUCUGUCGUGGGGGAUAACGUAGGGAAACUUACGCUAAUACCGCAUACGACCUACGGGUGAAAGCAGGGGAUCUUCGGACCUUGCGCGAUUGAAUGAGCCGAUGUCGGAUUAGCUAGUUGGCGGGGUAAAGGCCCACCAAGGCGACGAUCCGUAGCUGGUCUGAGAGGAUGAUCAGCCACACUGGAACCGAGACACGGUCCAGACUCCUACGGGAGGCAGCAGGC
rnacentral:rRNA from 1 species